CGGAGCGUGGCGCAGCCUGGUAGCGCGCUACACUGGGGGUGUAGAGGUCGUGGGUUCGAGUCCCGCCGCUCCGACCA
rnacentral:tRNA from 1 species